GGCUACUGCAAGUGUAGACUGAUUUCAUAAUAAUCAAUUAUGGUGUGAUUGAUUAGACACUUCAGCAAAUAGUUAUCAUCCCAAAAGAUUAUCAUAGAGGUAUGUGAACACAAAACAAAAUAUGAUAGAUAUCUUAUUAAUAAAGCCUAAUCGAUGAAAUAUAACUAGUGCAGCAAACUAAAAAUAACAACAAAAUAAUAAAAAAUAUUGCUAGUAAACUUGAGUUCCAAGGAUGUGAUCGAUGGCAACGAUGGUAAUGAUAAUGGAUAGAGAUAAUGAUUGAUGGAUGAAGAAACGAGGGCUGGGUAAAAGAUAGUGAUAGAACUAGUUGGAUAAUUACUUCUGCAAGUUUGGUUCCUCCAAUCCAAUGAGAAUCUUCAGGCCGCGCUCCACCAAGGCAUCGAGAUGAAGGAUGAAGGAAUCGAGAAGGUGGUUUCAAAAAGAAAUAGGUCAAAAAGGAUGA
rnacentral:lncRNA from 1 species